rnacentral:rRNA from 1 species
UGCGGAGGAUGCGAGCGUUAUCCGGAUUUAUUGGGUUUAAAGGGUGCGUAGGCGGUUUGAUAAGUUAGAGGUGAAAUGUCGGGGCUCAACCCCGAAACUGCCUCUAAUACUGUUGGACUAGAGAAUAGUUGCGGUAGGCGGAAUGUAUGGUGUAGCGGUGAAAUGCUUAGAGAUCAUACAGAACACCGAUUGCGAAGGCAGCUUACCAAACUAUAUCUGACGUUGAGGCACGAAAGCGUGGGUAGCAAACAGG